rnacentral:rRNA from 1 species
UACGUAGGGUGCAAGCGUUGUCCGGAAUUAUUGGGCGUAAAGAGCUCGUAGGCGGUUUGUCGCGUCUGCUGUGAAAACUCGGGGCUUAACUCCGGGCCUGCAGUGGGUACGGGCAGACUAGAGUGCGGUAGGGGAGACUGGAAUUCCUGGUGUAGCGGUGAAAUGCGCAGAUAUCAGGAGGGACACCGGUGGCGAAGGCGGGUCUCUGGGCCGUAACUGACGCUGGAGGAGCGAAAGCGUGGGGAGCGAACAGG